UUUUUUUUUUUUUUUUUUCACUAUUGCGUUGGCUAUAUUCUAAUCUGUAAAUUCUAAUAACAGUUAUAGACCAUGCCCAAAUGUGAUUUGUUUGAAAGUAUAUGAGACUGGUUCAGCAUUCAAAAAUCCUCACAUCAAUAGGCUAAUGGAGAAAAAUCAUAUGAUCAUAUAGGUAGAUUCAGAAUAAUCAUUUGUUAAAAUCCAAUGCCCAUUUAUGACAAAAGUUCUUAGCAAACUAAGAAUAGAGAGGAACUACCUCAACUUGAUAAAGAGCAUGUACAAAACCUAUAGCAUACACAAUAAGAAAUUUGACACUUUCUUAGUAAAAUCAAGAAUAAGGCAAGGAUGUUGACUCUCACCACGCCUAUUUAACAUCAUACUAGACAUCCUAGCUGAUGCAAUAAGACAAAGAAAAGAAGUAAAAAUGUGCAUGAUGGUUAAUUUUAGAUGUUAACUUGACCAGAUAGCUGGUGAAGCAUUAUUUCUGGGUGUGUCAGUGAGGGUAUUACCAGAAAAGAUCAACAUUUGAAUCAAUGGACUGAAUAAGGACGAGCCAUCAUCAUCCAAUGUGGGCAGGCACUAUUCAAUCAGCUGAGGGCCCAGAUAGAAUAAAAAGUCAAGGAAAGGUGAAUUACCUCUUUCUUUUCUCAAGCUAGGACAUCCUACUUUUCUUGCCCUUGGACAUCAGAACUUUGGUUCUGCAACCUUUGUACUCCAGUGGUGCACCAGCAGCCUCCAAGUUUCUUAGGCCUUUGGCUUUAGACUGAGAGUUAUGCCAUCAGCUUCCCCUGUUCUGAGGCCUUCAGACUUGGACUGAACUACAUAACCACCUUCCUUGGCUCUCCCACUUGCAUGCAACUUAUCAUGGCACUUCUCAGAAUCCAUAAUUUCGUGAUUCAAUUUUCCUAAUCAAUUCCCUCCGAUACAUCUCUCUCUAUCCUGUUGGUUCCAUACUGAGUGCAAAUUGGGAAGAAAAAUUAAAUUGUUUAUGUUUAUAAAUUAUGAUUGCUUAUGUAGAGACUAAAAAUAUCUGCAACUAAUACGUGAUUUUAGCAAGACUACAGGAUAUAAGGUUAAUACACAAAAUUAAUUUUCAUAUACACUAACAAUAAAAAUUGGAAUUGAAAUUGAGAACACACUACCUCUUAUAUUGACACAA
rnacentral:lncRNA from 1 species